rnacentral:rRNA from 1 species
AUUGAACGCUGGCGGCAGGCUUAACACAUGCAAGUCGAGCGGGGUGAUGGUGCUUGCACUAUCACUUAGCGGCGGACGGGUGAGUAAUGCUUAGGAAUCUGCCUAUUAGUGGGGGACGACAUCUCGAAAGGGAUGCUAAUACCGCAUACGUCCUACGGGAGAAAGCAGGGGAUCACUUGUGACCUUGCGCUAAUAGAUGAGCCUAAGUCGGAUUAGCUAGUGGGUGGGGUAAAGGCCUACCAAGGCGACGAUCUGUAGCGGGUCUGAGAGGAUGAUCCGCCACACUGGGACUGAGACACGGCCCAGACUCCUACGGGAGGCAGCAGUGGGGAAUAUUGGACAAUGGGGGGAACCCUGAUCCAGCCAUGCCGCGUGUGUGAAGAAGGCCUUAUGGUUGUAAAGCACUUUAAGCGAGGAGGAGGCUCUUUUGGUUAAUACCCAAGAUGAGUGGACGUUACUCGCAGAAUAAGCACCGGCUAACUCUGUGCCAGCAGCCGCCGUAA